UCUUCUUUGUUGUUUCUGUCAGUAGUAACAUCCGGUCGUUGAUCGUGUGACUCGUGAUCAAAAAAUAAAAUUU